GGGGGUAUAGCUCAAUGCUAGAGCACAUGGUUGGCAUGCAUGCACAAGGUCCAGGGUUCAAUCCCCACUGCCUCCA
rnacentral:tRNA from 1 species